GACGAACGCUGGCGGCGUGCUUAACACAUGCAAGUCGAACGGAAAGGCCCUGCUUUUGUGGGGUUCUCGAGUGGCGAACGGGUGAGUAACACGUGAGUAACCUGCCCUUGACUUUGGGAUAACUUCUGGAAACCGGGGCUAAUACCGGAUAGGAGCUCCUGCUGCAUGGUGGGGGUUGGAAAAUUUCGGCGUUUGGGGCUGGACUCGCGGCUUAUGAGCUUGUUGGUGGGGUAGUGGCUUACCAAGGCUUUGACGGGUAGCCGGCCUGAGAGGGUGACCGGCCACAUUGGGACUGAGGUAGGGCCCAGAAUCCUACGGGAGGCAGCAGUGGGGAAUAUUGCGCAAUGGGCGGAAGCCUGAUGCAGCAACGCCGCGUGCGGGAUGACGGUCUUCGGGUUGUAAACCGCUUUCGAAUGUGACGAAGCGUGAGUGACGGUAAUGGGUAAGGAAGCAACGGCUAACUACGUG
rnacentral:rRNA from 1 species